CUGGUGGCGUGUCUUAUACAUGCAAGUCGAGCGAGGCAGCAAUGCCGAGCGGCGAACGGGUGAGUAACGCGUAAGCAAUCUGCCCCAUAUCAGGGAAAUACCCGUGCCAACGCGCGGUUAAUGUCCAGGAGAGUGGCCCUCUGCAUGGAGGGUUGACUAGAGAUUUAUCGGUAUGGGAUGAGCUUGCGUCCGAUUAGCUAGUUGGCGGGGCAACGGCCCACCAAGGCGACGAUCGGUAGCCGGCCUGAGAGGGUGAUCGGCCACAUUGGGACUGAGAUACGGCCCAGACUCCUACGGGAGGCAGCAGUAGGGAAUAUUGCACAAUGGGGGAAACCCUGAUGCAGCAACGCCACGUGUGGGAAAGAAGCAUUUCGGUGUGUAAACCACUGUCAUGAGGGAAUAAGGCCCAGUUUAGGCUGGGAUUGAAUGUACCUUGAGAGGAAGCACCGGCAAACUUCGUGCCAGCCGCUGC
rnacentral:rRNA from 1 species